GAGUUUGAUCCUGGCUCAGAGCGAACGCUGGCGGCACGCUUUACACAUGCAAGUCGAGCGAGAAAGCGGCUUCGGUCGCAAGUAUAGCGGCGGACGGGUGCGUAUAACGUGGAUAACCUGCCUUAAGGACCGGGACAACCUUGGGAAACCAAGGCUAAUACCGGAUAUGACCACGAUGUCUGAGGGCAACGGGGUAAAAGAUGACCGUUUACGGUUGUCGCCUUUUGAGGGGUCCACGUCCUAUCAGGUAGUUGGUGGGGUAAAGGCCUACCAAGCCAAAGACGGGUAGCCGGCCUUAGCGGGUGAUCGGCCACACGGGGACUGAGACACGGCCCCGACUCCUACGGGAGGCAGCAGUGGGGAAUAUUGGGCAAUGGGCGAAAGCCUGACCCAGCGAUGCCGCGUGAGGGAAGAAGGCCUUCGGGUUGUAAACCUAUGUCAAGAGGGAAGAAGGGUCUGCAAAUUAACCUUGCGGGCUUGACUGUACCUCCAGAGGAAGCCCCGGUAACUCCGUGCCAGCAGCCGCGGUAAUACGGGAGGGGGCAAGCGUUGCUCGGGAAUUACUGGGCGUAAAGAGUCCGUAGGUGGUCUUGCAAGUUGGAUGUGGAAAGCCCGGGAGCUUUAACUCCGGGAAUUGUUCCAAAACUGUUGACUUGAGUCCACGAGAGGUUGGGGAAUUUCCCGGUGUAG
rnacentral:rRNA from 1 species